rnacentral:pre_miRNA from 1 species
AUUCUACUCCCUCCGUUGCACAAUACAUGCCUUCUAUUUGUCAUAUAUAUGUAUCUAGACAUGUUUUAGUAUAUAGGUACAUCCAUUUUUGGACAAAUGGAAGUCAAGUAUUUUGGAACGGUGGGAGUACACA